rnacentral:rRNA from 1 species
UACGUAGGGCGCAAGCGUUUGUCCGGAAUUAUUGGGCGUAAAGAGCUCGUAGGCGGCCUGUCGCGUCGGCUGUGAAAACCCGGGGCUCAACCCCGGGCCUGCAGUGGGUACGGGCAGACUAGAGUGCGGUAGGGGAGAUUGGAAUUCCUGGUGUAGCGGUGGAAUGCGCAGAUAUCAGGAGGAACACCAAUGGCGAAGGCAGAUCUCUGGGCCGUAACUGACGCUGAGGAGCGAAAGCAUGGGGAGCGAACAGG